UUCCGCACGAUAGAGGAAUUGAUUCAAUGUGUCAAUUCCUUUUUUGUUGCACAAGACCGGCAAGCGAAUGGAUGCUUGCAUACAAAUUCAUUUGCCGGUUGUAAGAACAUGGAGCACGAAGUGCGGAAUGUUCGUGUGCGAAA
rnacentral:misc_RNA from 1 species